GGCAGCUUCCUUAAAGCCGCAGCCGCGGCGGGAGCUUGGGGUGCCGGGCGGUGGCUACAUCAGGCGGCCUCCGCACGCUGCCCCCACCCCCAUCGCUCGGCCGCCCCAAACUUGCUUACGUCCACCCUGCUCUCCUUCUGACCGACCCCAGGAUAUCUGGAGAGAUGUGAAAAGUGUGCUGACGCGGAAGAAGUCGGUUUUUCCGCGAGCAAAGUGUCGUCCCCUCACGCUCUCCACCUGCAGCUCCAGAUCUGGUCGUGCUUUACUUAUUAUGUGGUCCAUUAGGAACUGCUGUCUUUCUCCAUGAACUUACCUUCCUGAAUACCAUGAUGCUUUUAGGAAUGGGCACUUGGUUCAACCAGGACAAAUGGAAUCUUUCUCUUGAUUUUUUGGAGCUGAAGAACGAGGAUGGUGAAAAAGAGCUGAAUUACAUAGGACAAUAAGUUUUUGAGAAGCCAACUGGGAAACAGAAGAAGGAAGAUGUCACCAGACAAAAGAAGUCUAAUGGGAGGAAUCCGUGGAAUUUUCUUUUGCAUGCUUGUGUAACACUCGUGAAGCAGCAAAAGAAGAUCCACGUUAUUCCAGAAAUUAAUGCCAGCGAAGUCAAUCGUGUACAUCAACAGGCUAACCUGGGCUUGUUCAUAUGGUGGUGGAAGAUUUCCCAGCAGCAAGAGUGUUGGCUCCAGUAUACAGACCUUGUCAAGUCUCUGCCUGCAUCAUUUGCAUCUUUGACCAAACCAGAUUUGCACCUAUGAUCUUGAUGUCUCCACAUGCUGCAAGUCACAUUGGACAGUUUGUAGUUUUGUGACUGAAUCUAACAUUAAGUUUAUUAGGGACUUUGGUCUACAUGUAAAACUCACCUGGAUGUUAAUGGAAGAGCCUCUGGGUAUUGAAACAGAAUAUAUUCAGCAUUUUGUCUGGUCUAGAAGUCAAUCAGAAUGCAAUUGUUCAUUAAGCCUCCUGCAAGCAAUAGUCACUGUGCUGUGCCAACAUUCAUCAAGUUAAGGGCCAGGAAAUGUGAUUGCCAGGGGCAGAUCUCACAGAGACAGCACAAAAGUCAGCUCGUCUCAAUUACAACGCGGCAAUGGCCUUCUUCCUUGAAACUGCAUUGUCAGAAGGGAAUCUGAGAGGCAGUUCAGAACUUUUUCACUGGGCUCACUCUCAACAGGAAUACCUGAUAGGAAACAAACUAGGAGACUUAUUUUCCUGUUCUCAAUUUUCACAAGAAUGUUUGGACUAUAGUGCCUGUGACUGACUCAAGAAAUUGAAGAAGCAAGAAUUAAGAGGAACAGUGAAUAUUUGGUGCUACAUGGAAGGAGAAUAUUGAAGUGGGAACACUUAACAGCUUUUUAGGAAGAAAGUUAAAAUCUUAGCUGUAUCUCUUGCUUUACAUUUCUAGGCAAGUUCUUUAAUUUUUCUAGAUGUAAGUAUCCUUAUGUAUAAUCUGUCUACUCCAUAAGGUUAUUGUAAGAAAUACAUAAAAUAAAGUAACUGAAAACAGUGCACAAUAAAUGAAGCUAUUAUGAUGAAGGCAAAAUAUCACCAAGAUUAUAAUAUUCCCUUUCAUUUGGAAUUGAGAGGUAGAUAGCUAUGUUUUUAACAGUCAGAUAAAGAGUUAAACUUUGGACGCAAAUGACAGUAAUCAAGAAGGUAAAAUAAGACCUAAGAACUCCUUAGAAAAUCUUCAAUUCCCAUAGGUCUCAUUAUCAGGUAAGAAUGCUAUAUGCUUCUCACAAAAGCCUGGAAAAAUGUUUGAAGCUCACUUGUCAGCAUGGAGAGACAUCCAGAAUAAUUACUGAAAACAAACGAUGGUUUUGCAAGUCCAAGAUGUUUCGAGAUGUUUUGACAGUGGAGGAAAUGCCUAGAAGCAGGUUUGACUCUUUGUAAUACUCAUUCAUCUACAUGGUUUUUCUCUCUCUUUCUCCUCCUCCCCCUCCCCGCUCUCUGUGUGUGUACUACUUAAUUUCCCCAGAAUAAAUAUAAAUAUGUUAUAGUUCUUAUAAAUUAAAAUUAUGUAAAUUUGAUCACGUGAAUGCUGUUAUCAACAUAUUAACAUACUUUGUAUCUAUUUUCACUGUGAUUUACCAUGUAUUAGUAAUUGGCAAAAGGCCCUGUAUCAUUCCUGGAACAGUCCCAUUGCAGUGAGAAUUCUAGUUGAGCUCAUGCUGUUUCUACCACCACGUGUAAGGAAAGCCCACAGCAUAAUUCACCAUCAGGGUUUCCUCUUUCACUCAGAAGCCUAUGGCAUGCAAGCCUGUAAUUCUGGUAUGCGUGACUCCAUGGAUGAGGAAUUGGAGUCUUGCUUGAAGGGUUGGGCUCAAAGUUACUGUACG
rnacentral:lncRNA from 1 species